GACGAACGCUGGCGGCGUGCUUAACACAUGCAAGUCGAGCGGUAAGGCCCUUUCGGGGGUACACGAGCGGCGAACGGGUGAGUAACACGUGGGUGACCUGCCCUCAGCUCUGGGAUAAGCCUGGGUAACCGGGUCUAAUACUGGAUAUGACUCCACGACGCAUGUUGUGGGGUGGAAAGCCUUGUGCGGCUGAGGAUGGGCCCGCGGCCUAUCAGCUUGUUGGUGGGGUGANGGCCUACCAAGGCGACGACGGGUAGCCGGCCUGAGAGGGCGACCGGCCACACUGGGACUGAGACACGGCCCAGACUCCUACGGGAGGCAGCAGUGGGAAUCUUGCGCAAUGGGCGAAAGCCUGACGCAGCGACGCCGCGUGAGGGAUGACGGCCUGG
rnacentral:rRNA from 1 species